rnacentral:rRNA from 1 species
CCUGGUUGAUCUUGCCAGUAGUCAUAUGCUUGUCUCAAAGAUUAAGCCAUGCAAGUGAAAGUAUAUGCAUAUUUUAUAUGUAGAAACUGCGAACGGCUCAUUAAAACAGUUAUAAUCUACUUGACAUUUUUUCUAUAAGGAUAACUACGGAAAAGCUGUAGC